rnacentral:rRNA from 1 species
GGGCGUAAAGCGUGCGCAGGCGGUUUUGUAAGUCAGAUGUGAAAUCCCCGAGUUUAACUUGGGAACUGCGUUUGAAACUACAAGACUAGGAGUGUGUCAGAGGGGGGUAGAAUUCCACGUGUAGCAGUGAAAUGCGUAGAGAUGUGGAGGAAUACCAAUGGCGAAGGCAGCCCCCUGGGAUAACACUGACGCUCAUGCACGAAAGCGUGGGGAGCAAACAGGAUUAGAUACCCUGGUAGUCCACGCCGUAAACUAUGAUCACUCGUUGCUAGCGAUACACUGUUAGUGACCAAGCGAAAGUGUUAAGUGAUCCACCUGGGAAGUACGUUCGCAAGAAUGAAACUCAAAGGAAUUGACGGGGGCCCGCACAAGCGGUGGAGCAUGUGGUUUAAUUCGAUGCAACGCGAAGAACCUUACCUACUCUUGACAUACUAGGACCGCCAGAGAGAUUUGGCUUUCACUUCGGUGACCUAGUGACAGGUGCUGCAUGGCU